rnacentral:siRNA from 1 species
UUAUAUGUCCGAUUCGACCAAUAA